rnacentral:tRNA from 15 species
GGUGGGGUGGCUGAGUGGUCGAAAGCGGCGGUCUUGAAAACCGUUGACUGUAACAGGUCCCAGGGUUCGAAUCCCUGCCCCACCGCCA